GUCAGCUGCUGUGUGUGAAGCUCCGGACGAGAAGAAGAAGAAAGAAGAAAAGUUGAGUGAGAAUUCCUUUUUUCCCCUCCACCAACAAUGUGGAAAGUGGAAGUGGAAGGCGCCAAAACAAGGGUUCACCCCCCCUUCCCCUGCUGGAUGGAGCGCACUGAUUGUGCCCCUGCAACAGAGCGGGAUGCCGGUGGGGCCGGUUUUUAUACGCAGUACGUACCGGUGCGACAGCAACCUGCUCUCAACAGUUUUUCUUCCAGGUAACACGCGCAGCGCGGAUGCUGAAAACGGAAAAUCAGGAGCCCGUGAUUCGAAACAACCGCACUUGAAAACGCUCAACUCUGAACUCCCCCAGUGUGUGUGUGUGUGUGUGUGUGUGUGUGUGUGUGUGUGUGUGUGUGUGUGUGUGUGUGUGUGUGUGUGUGUGUGUGUGCGUCUCUGGAAAAUGGUGCGCCUUUUUAACCUUAAACAGCCGCAGGCUGGCAAAUCUUUUUCAUAAAUUCGCACGUCGGUUUUGGCCAAGGCCCACGGACCAGAAACAGAAGCAGAACCAGGACGACGACGCCUGCGUCUGCCGACCACAAAAAACAUUACAACUUGCCAAGAAAAAACCAAAGCCGAAUCCUGAAAUACACUCGAAAAUUCGAUCUGGCAGUUGUUGGGCUUUUUAGGAUUAUCUUUUCAAUACAUUUCUCUGAAACGAGUUUUUGUUAGAAAAACAGAAAUGAAAAUCUGCCUCAAAAUCGUCAUACCCCCCUCUAAAAGGGUAUAAUGACAAGGAUAAGUAUGUAUACAUGGUGGGUAAAAAGAGGCCAUGGGAUAAGGGGAUAACGUUAAGUGGCGCGUUAAAUUACAUUAAUCAUUGAAGGGAUUUUAACAUGCAACGAUGAAGCGAAGGCUGCUGCACCUGAAGGUCCUUUCCACCAGCCUCAACCAUCCCACCAUCCAAUACUUUUUCUCAGCUUUUUCCAUUUUUUCGGGGAGGUGGAAUGGCGUUCGUCCUGGCCCCAACUGUAGCUUAUUUUGUGGCUUCCUUCUUGACCUUUUUUCGACGUGUUUGUUUUGCCAGUAAAAAGGAAACGAAAGGAAAGGAGAAAUAAAGUUCUUGGUCACAACAAAGCAAUUGCGGGAUUUGUUUUUUUUUUUGUUAAUCAAUAAACG